ensembl:lncRNA
AGCAAAGCGCUUUAUUCUUCUUAUACUACACAACAAUUUCCCAAUGCAGAUGGAUGUUAAAGAAAGAAUGACACAUUGUACUUAAUGUUAUGGAACAUCCAUAAAAAACUGAGCUCCUAUUACUCAUGUAAUCGCAGCUAUAAAACAUCCCUCACAGAAUAACUAAUAUUUCUGUUUUCCCCCCAUGAGGAAGUGCAUUCAAAUAAUUACAUGAACAAAUGAAUUAAUGGGUCAAAGAGUGAAUAACUGAAAGAAAGAACGAGUAGAAAAAAGGAAGUCUGUUUCCAUGGAGAUCCACACUGCGUUUGUGUAGGCUUUUGGGUCAUUUCAGUUGGAACCCCACACUUACUGCCUCACUCUCUCCAUCAGAAACGGGCUGAGACUCGGAGCGAUGGUGGAUUGCCGAAUAAACCCAGCUCCUGUCUUCUGGGGGCUGCGGUUACACCACCAACACAACAGCAGGGGGCGUCACAGAGCAUCACUAUGCCUCUGAUUUCCCUGGCGAGUUUGUGGACUCUGAAGCAGGAGCUGAGCAAAAACAGAGGUAUGAGAACAUUCAGAAGUUCAGCGAGGAGGCCAGGUGGUUGGAGCAGUCAGAGGCACUGCAGCAGGCCAGGAGGAAAUAUCUGGGCCAUAUCAGCUCACAAUGUGUCCAAAAGCAGUGAGAUACUGGGCAAGACCAGCACUUCAAGGAUCACUUCAGAGGUCA